UGGGGAAUUUUGGACAAUGGGGGAAACCCUGAUCCAGCCAUCCCGCGUGUGCGAUGAAGGCCUUCGGGUUGUAAAGCACUUUUGGCAGGAAAGAAACGUCGCGGGUUAAUACCCCGCGAAACUGACGGUACCUGCAGAAUAAGCACCGGCUAACUACGUGCCAGCAGCCGCGGUAAUACGUAGGGUGCAAGCGUUAAUCGGAAUUACUGGGCGUAAAGCGUGCGCAGGCGGUUCGGAAAGAAAGAUGUGAAAUCCCAGAGCUUAACUUUGGAACUGCAUUUUUAACUACCGGGCUAGAGUGUGUCAGAGGGAGGUGGAAUUCCGCGUGUAGCAGUGAAAUGCGUGGAUAUGCGGAGGAACACCGAUGGCGAAGGCAGCCUCCUGGGAUAACACUGACGCUCAUGCACGAAAGCGUGGGGAGCAAACAGGAUUAGAUACCCUGGUAGUCCACGCCCUAAACGAUGUCAACUAGCUGUUGGGGGCCUUCGGGCCUUGGUAGCGCAGCUAACGCGUGAAGUUGACCGCCUGGGGAGUACGGUCGCAAGAUUAAAACUCAAAGG
rnacentral:rRNA from 1 species